rnacentral:sRNA from 1 species
UUCAUUGAGAAUUGACAUGGUAGAGUGUAUGCGAUCCAUUGUCGCUGCCGGGAUUGGCGGGAUGGUGGAAAAAGUAAAAUACAAAUCUAUCCAUGCAAGCAUUCACCGUCGGUUAUCCGGCGGUUUUUUUUUGCCUGUCAGACAUAAAAAUGGCCCCUUGUGCAGUGAUGCGACAAGGGGCCUUAUCGGUUCAGGACUUUCUCCGUUCAUUAGUCA